rnacentral:rRNA from 1 species
GACGAACGCUGGCGGCGUGCUUAACACAUGCAAGUCGAGCGGUAAGGCCCUUUCGGGGGUACACGAGCGGCGAACGGGUGAGUAACACGUGGGUGACCUGCCCUCAGCUCUGGGAUAAGCCUGGGAAACUGGGUCUAAUACCGGAUAUGACUCCAUGACGCAUGUUGGUGGGGUAGGAAAGCCUUGUGCGGCUGAGGAGUCGGGCCCGCGGCCUAUCAGCUUGUUGGGUGGGGUGANGGCCUACCAAGGCGACGACGGGUAGCCGGCCUGAGAGGGCGACCGGCCACA